GGUGUCCAGGGGAGCCUGGGUUUCUUUAACAGAUAAUACAGAGAGGGCUUUGCAGCGUUUGGAGAGCGCACCUUCUUUGCACAGGAGCUGGAGAGAAGCCUGGGGCAGGAGUUUGAGAGCGGCUGUCAGGAAAGCUAGAAGUGGUGACUGGAUCAAGGAGGAGGCCCGUGGAGAAGCUGGAAGGCGGUCCUGGCAGAAAGCAUUUGCUGGCUUUCUGGGCAAAAGAUGAACUGAAGUAGAUCACAGCUCUACAGUUGCUACUUUGAGCAUGUUUCCUGUUAUGGAUGAAGAAAAUGGAGGCACAGAAAGACCCACCAGCUUGUCCUACACCAGCCUGUCCUCCUCAUCCUCGUUCUCGUCUUCUUCCUCUAUGACAGGCUCUCGCUGUGUUACUAUGUAGCUCUGACUGGCCUGGAACACACAGAGAUCUAUUCAUCUCACCCCCCUUAAAACUGUGUUUGUGUGGUGUGUGUGUGUGUGUGUGCUUGUCUGGGUGUGUGCAGGCAAACAUGGAAGCCAGAGGUUGACAUCAGGGGCCUAGCUCAAUUACUCUCCAUCAUAGAUUCUAAGGCAGGGUCUCUCACCAAACUUGCAGCUCAUUCAUUUGUCUAGACUGUCUGGCCAGUGUGCUCCAGGUAUGCCUUCCUCUAUACUCCCAGAUCAGGGCUAUGGACGCGUGACACAGCACUGGACUUUUCCUCGGGUCCCGGGGAUCCAAACUCAGGUCCUCCCACUUGUGUGGCAAGCACUGUAUUAAGUAUGCCACCUCCUAGCCCCUCUUUCUUCUUCUCAGCAAGUUUGUUGCAUUGACUGCUUAAGACAAGCCAGUUACACUCCCUGACCCAUUUUUGUUUGCUUGUUUUAGAGAUAGGGUCCGAUUAUAUAGCCCAGGAUGGCCUGGAACUCACCAACCUCAGUUGGGAUAGCAGGUGUGUACCACUAUGCUUGGUCAGAAUGGUGUCUAAUUCUGUGGUCUUCUAUUCCUUUUAUCAUUGGUGUUUCAGGGAUCAUAUUGUGCCUCGAGAUCACAUUGGGAGAAACGACAGAAUUGUUCUCAUUUUGUGGUUGGAGAUCAUGUUAACCGUGUGAUACUGUGUUGGCUAAGAAACCCACACUCCUUCAUUUAGCACAAGCCAAGGCAAGCCAGCCAAGGCUGCAUGGCUACAUGCAACCCUGAGAAAUCUGAUGAUUAUUUAGAGUGUAAAAGAGAGGUGGUGACCUGGUUCUGUGAGUAAAAGUACUGUUGGCAAAAACCAUAGCAACCCGAAUUAGACCCUCAAAACCCAUGGUGGAAGGGAGACCCAAUCCCCAAACUGGUCUUUGACUUCCACACCCAUGCAGUGGCACAUUUUGUACACACAAUGAUGACAACAACAACUUGUUUUUAAGAAGACCGAGGGGCUCAGCUGCUGACAGUCCUGGCUGCACUCACGGAGGACCUGCAUUCAGUUCCCAGCACCCACAGGAAGGCUCACAGUCGUGUAUAACUAACUGCCGGGUUCACUGGUCCUGACACCCUCUUCUGGCUUCUGUAGGCCCCGCAUGCCUAGGCAUAUAUGCAUAAAUACAUCUUUAAAAAAAUGAA